rnacentral:pre_miRNA from 1 species
UCUUAAGGAUGAGCAAAGGAAGGGUUUCUUGAAAUGGAAUCUAUUCCUGGUGAAGAUGUUGUGAA